UAAGACGAGGGACCCUAGCGUUGUUCGGAAUCACUGGGCGUAAAGCGGGUGUAGGCGACUUAGUAAGUCGAGUGUGAAAGCCUUGGGCUUAACCCAAGAAGUGCGCUCGAUACUGCUGAGUUUGAGUACUGGAGAGGCUACUGGAAUUCCUGGUGUAGUGGUGAAAUACGUAGAUAUCAGGAGGAACACCGGAGGCGAAGGCGGGUAGCUGGCCAGACACUGACGCUGAGACCCGAAAGCGUGGGGAUCAAACAGGAUUAGAUACCCUGGUAGUCCACGCUGUAAACGAUGGAUACUUGUCGUUGGAGGAUUUGACCCCUUCAGUGACGGAGCUAACGCGUUAAGUAUCCCGCCUGGGGAGUACGGUCGCAAGAUUA
rnacentral:rRNA from 1 species